rnacentral:lncRNA from 1 species
CACAAGCCACAAAAAACAUUGAACUACAAACUGCAAACCUAAACCCAAAUACGCUAAACGGGCCCAAAGCCCAAACAACCAAACUCGAGGUCCAAGACCCAAAACGGCUCGGCUACGCAAUCAUCGAGGAGGCUGAAGGAAUGCACGUGUGAAGAUCUACGCCAUCAGUACGCCACGUGUUUCUCCGCCUCUACCCGAUCGUCUCCGCCUCACCGAGCCGCCAUGCAAGACCACCAAAACCCUCAUUUCACCGGAGCUCAUCAUACCUUCAAGCCUCCGCCAUAACCAGCUUUCUUCUUCACCUUUCUGAACCGAUGUCGGAGAGCUCAUCGCUCUAGUGAGAUCUCAUCCGACAUCGAUCUUCAAACCCUCUACUCUUUCUGGCCGAGAACAUCUCCCGCACCCAGAAUCUAACAUAAAAACCGCUAACCCGAAGCCGGCGACGUAAGGUUGAAGGAACCUUCACCUCCCAGAAGCUUGAGCCGAAGACGGCGGAGUUAAAGGAACUUCCGCCUCUCGGCGACUAAAACCGGCGGCGGCGGAGCUGCCGUAGCCUCCACCUCCUGGAAACGAAACUAACCACUGCGAUCUCCUUCACCAUACCCUCGACUCUGGCGACCGCGUCUUCCCUCCAGAAACCAGAGACUCCAACGAUGGAGGCU